rnacentral:rRNA from 1 species
CGGAUGAACGCUGGCGGCGUGCCUCAAACAUGCAAGUCGAGCGGGGCUAUGUAAUAUCGCAAGGUAGAACAUAGCCUAGCGGCGAACGGGUGAGUAACACGUGGGUAACCUGCCUGGAAGACAGGGAUAACGAUUCGAAAGGGUCGCUAAUACCUGAUAAUAUCCUUUCAUCGCAUGGUGAUAGGAAGAAAGGGGAAACCCGCUUUCAGAUGGGCCCGCGUCCCAUCAGCUAGUUGGCGAGGUAACGGCUCACCAAGGCGAAGACGGGUAGCCGGCCUGAGAGGGUGAACGGCCACACUGGAACUGAGAGACGGUCCAGACUCCUACGGGAGGCAGCAGUGGGGAAUAUUGGGCAAUGGGGGAAACCCUGACCCAGCGACGCCGCGUGAGGGAAGAAGGCCUUAGGGUCGUAAACCUCUGUUGUGUGGGAAGAAGAGCGUGACGGUACCACACGAGGAAGUCCCGGCUAACUACGUG